rnacentral:rRNA from 1 species
GAUGAACGCUGGCGGCGUGCUUAACACAUGCAAGUCGAGCGAGAAGUUUUGAAAAGAUUCUUCGGAUGAAAUUUAAAAUGGAAAGCGGCGGACGGGUGAGUAACGCGUAGGCAACCUGCCCCAUACAAAGGGAUAGCAUUUGGAAACGAAUAUUAAUACCUUAUGAAACUUAACUAGUGCAUGCUAGGUAGGUCAAAGAUUUAUCGGUAUGGGAUGGGCCUGCGUCUGAUUAGCUAGUUGGUGAGGUAACGGCUAACCAAGGCGACGAUCAGUAGCCGACCUGAGAGGGUGAACGGCCACAUUGGAACUGAGACACGGUCCAAACUCCUACGGGAGGCAGCAGUGGGGAAUAUUGCACAAUGGGGGAAACACUGAUGCAGCAACGCCGCGUGAACGAUGAAGGCCUUUGGGUCGUAAAGUUCUGUUCUAGGUGAUGAAAACUGACAGUAACCUAGGAGAAAGCCCCGGCUAACUCCGUG